GUGUCAGCAGCCGCGGUAAAACGUAGGAGCCAAGCGUUAUCCGAAUUUACUGGGCGUAAAGCGCGUGCAGGCGGCUCGAUAAGUUGGCUGUGAAAUCUCCUGGCUCAACUGGGAGAGGCCGGUCAAGACUGUCGGGCUGGAGGGCAGUAGAGGGAGGUGGAAUUCCCGGUGUAGUGGUGAAAUGCGUAGAGAUCGGGAGGAACACCAGUGGCGAAAGCGGCCUCCUAGGCUGUACCUGACGCUCAGACGCGAAAGCUAGGGGAGCAAACGGGAUUAGAAACCCUCGUAGUCC
rnacentral:rRNA from 1 species